CAAGACCUUGCGCUCUUGGAGCGGCCGAUGCCUGAUUAGCUAGUUGGUGAGGUAAAGGCUUACCAAGGCGACGAUCAGUAGCUGGUCUGAGAGGACGACCAGCCACACUGGGACUGAGACACGGCCCAGACUCCUACGGGAGGCAGCAGUGGGGAAUUUUGGACAAUGGGGGAAACCCUGAUCCAGCCAUGCCGCGUGAGUGAAGAAGGCCUUCGGGUUGUAAAGCUCUUUCAGCCGGAACGAAACGGUCGCGGCUAAUACCUGUGACUACUGACGGUACCGGAAGAAGAAGCACCGGCUAACUACGUGCCAGCAGCCGCGGUAAUACGUAGGGUGCAAGCGUUAAUCGGAAUUACUGGGCGUAAAGCGCGCGCAGGCGGUUUUGUAAGUCAGAUGUGAAAUCCCCGGGCUUAACCUGGGAACUG
rnacentral:rRNA from 1 species